UCACGGAAGAUUCACACAACGGGGCAGGAUGGUGUUAGCCAGCUCUUCGUUCAACUUGACUGGAAGUGGUGGCAUCUGCUUCAUUAAAUUAGGCACGUCAUUCAACUCAUUCAUAAUCUUGAGAAUGUUGUCACGAGUUUGGCAGAGCAGACUGACGUUCUCCUGUAGCUGCAUGGUAGAAAGAUUAGCAGAUAUUUGAUUUAAGGCCUUUGUGUUUUGCUCAAGAAGCUCCUCUGUAACACCACUAAGGGCUUUGUAUGAAA
rnacentral:misc_RNA from 1 species